rnacentral:rRNA from 1 species
AAGCCGCUGGGACUCUUGAAGUCUUAGUGGCGCAGCUAACGCACUAAGUUGACCGCCUGGGGAGUACGGCCGCAAGGUUAAAACUCAAAUGAAUUGACGGGGGCCCGCACAAGCGGUGGAGCAUGUGGUUUAAUUCGACGCAACGCGAAGAACCUUACCUGGCCUUGACAUGCAGAGAACUUUCCAGAGAUGGAUUGGUGCCUUCGGGAACUCUGACACAGGUGCUGCAUGGCCGUCGUCAGCUCGUGUCGUGAGAUGUUGGGUUAAGUCCCGUAACGAGCGCAACCCCUAUCCCUAGUUGCUAGCAGUUCGGCUGAGAACUCUAGGGAGACUGCCGGUGACAAACCGGAGGAAGGUGGGGAUGACGUCAGGUCGUCUGUAAAACGACGGCCAGGGCUACACACGUGCUACAAUGGUGCGUACAGAGGGCUGCAAACCCGCGAGGGGGAGCUAAUCUCACAAAACGCAUCGUAGUCCGGAUCGGAGUCUGCAACUCGACUCCGUGAAGUCGGAAUCGCUAGUAAUCGCGAAUCAGAAUGUCGCGGUGAAUACGUUCCCGGGCCUUGUACACACCGCCCGUCACACCAUGGGAGUGGAUUGCACCAGAAGUGGUUAGUCUAACCUUCGGGAGGACGAU